UACGUAGGGCGCAAGCGUUGUCCGGAAUUAUUGGGCGUAAAGAGCUCGUAGGCGGUCUGUCGCGUCGGAUGUGAAAAUCCAGGGCUCAACCCUGGACCUGCAUUCGAUACGGGCAGACUAGAGUUCGGCAGGGGAGACUGGAAUUCCUGGUGUAGCGGUGAAAUGCGCAGAUAUCAGGAGGAACACCGGUGGCGAAGGCGGUUCUCUGGGCCUUACCUGACGCUGAGGAGCGAAAGCGUGGGGAGCGAACAGG
rnacentral:rRNA from 1 species